UACGAAGGGUGCAAGCGUUACUCGGAAUUACUGGGCGUAAAGCGUGCGCAGGUGGUUUGUUAAGUCUGCUGUGAAAGCCCCGGGCUCAACCUGGGAAUGGCAGUGGAGACUGGCAAGCUAGAGUGCGGUAGAGGAUAGUGGAAUUCCCGGUGUAGCGGUGAAAUGCGUAGAGAUCGGGAGGAACACCAAUGGCGAAGGCGGCUAUCUGGACCAGCACUGACACUCAGGCACGAAAGCGUGGGGAGCAAACAGG
rnacentral:rRNA from 1 species